AUUGAACGCUGGCGGCAUGCUUUACACAUGCAAGUCGAACGGGCUGGGGGCAACUCCAGUCAGUGGCGAACGGGUGAGUAAUGCAUCGGAACGUGUCCCAUAGUGGGGGAUAACCCAGCGAAAGCUGGGCUAAUACCGCAUAAGCUCUAUGGAGGAAAGCGGGGGAUCGCAAAACCUCGCGCUUUGGGAGCGGCCGAUGUCCGAUUAGCUUGUUGGGGGGGUAAGGGCCUACCAAGGAGACGAUCGGUAGCUGGUCUGAGAGGAUGAUCAGCCACACUGGGACUGAGACACGGCCCAGACUCCUACGGGAGGCAGCAGUGGGGAAUUUUGGACAAUGGGGGCAACCCUGAUCCAGCCAUGCCGCGUGCGGGAAGAAGGCCUUCGGGUUGUAAACCGCUUUUAGCCGGGAAGAAAAGGCACGGGCCAAUACCCCGUGUUCUUGACGGUACCGGCGGAAUAAGCACCGGCUAACUACGUGCCAGCCGCCGCCGUAAGAC
rnacentral:rRNA from 1 species